rnacentral:rRNA from 1 species
UACGGGGGGGGCAAGCGUUGUUCGGAAUUACUGGGCGUAAAGGGCGCGUAGGCGGUCUGCUAAGUUGGAUGUGAAAACUCUGGGCUUAACCCAGAGCCUGCAUUCAAUACUGACAGGCUAGAGUUCUGGAGGGGAUAGCGGAAUUCCUGGUGUAGCGAUGAAAUGCGUAGAUAUCAGGAGGAACACCGGUGGCGAAGGCGGCUAUCUGGACAGAGUCUGACGCUGAGGCGCGAAAGCUAGGGGAGCAAACAGG